rnacentral:rRNA from 1 species
AGUGAACGCUGGCGGUAGGCCUAACACAUGCAAGUCGAACGGCAGCACAGUAAGAGCUUGCUCUUACGGGUGGCGAGUGGCGGACGGGUGAGGAAUACAUCGGAAUCUACUUUUUCGUGGGGGAUAACGUAGGGAAACUUACGCUAAUACCGCAUACGACCUACGGGUGAAAGCAGGGGAUCUUCGGACCUUGCGCGAUUGAAUGAGCCGAUGUCGGAUUAGCUAGUUGGCGGGGUAAAGGCCCACCAAGGCGACGAUCCGUAGCUGGUCUGAGAGGAUGAUCAGCCACACUGGAACUGAGACACGGUCCAGACUCCUACGGGAGGCACCAGUGGGGAAUAUUGGACAAUGGGCGCAAGCCUGAUCCAGCCAUACCGCGUGGGUGAAGAAGGCCUUCGGGGUGUAAAGCCCUUUUGUUGGGAAAGAAAAGCAGCAGGUUAAUACCCCGCUGUUCUGACGGUACCCAAAGAAUAAGCACCGGCUAACUUCGUG